UACGUAGGGUGCGAGCGUUGUCCGGAAUUAUUGGGCGUAAAGAGCUCGUAGGCGGUGUGUCACGUCGGCCGUGAAAACCUGCAGCUUAACUGUGGGCGUGCGGUCGAUACGGGCAUCACUGGAGUUCGGCAGGGGAGACUGGAAUUCCUGGUGUAGCGGUGAAAUGCGCAGAUAUCAGGAGGAACACCGGUGGCGAAGGCGGGUCUCUGGGCCGAUACUGACGCUGAUGAGCGAAAGCAUGGGGAGCGAACAGG
rnacentral:rRNA from 1 species